GAAGCACACGCAAGGCCUGCCUGAGUGCUUCCCUCAGUUAGACUUUUCACCCGAGAGUCUAGAUUUUCUCCUUGACAUUCCGGUUAUGUGUGUCCCAGCAUAGGGCAGCUGACUAGCACUACAAAGUGGUUCACAGAUGUGAGGGUUAAUCCUGGCUGUCAUCUUGAUUAGAUUUGGGAGCAUAGGGCCUUGUCUCCGAGUGGGUCUGUGAGGAUAGGAGCCUCCCCAGGGCAGUGCCUUCUAGCAGUAGCCCAGAUAUGGAUUCCAAGAGAAGAGUGGGACUGCUUCUGCCUGACUGUCUGCGCUCCUUGUUGCUAAGUGCAUCUACGCUGCUGCUGCUGCUACUGCCAUUCUUCACGGACAUCAGAACUAAGCUUCUCUGAUGUAUGCACAUUGAAGACCAGAGGCUCUCCAGGAAUCCUUCUGUCCUUCAGCACCAGCCUUGCAGAUUGUGAAGUUCCUUGGUUCUUAGUCUCUCCACUGUGCAGAUGGCCACUGUUGGACUCACUCUCCCUCUGAGGAAUUAACCAAGCAAGUUCAGAAGCCAUCACGCUCUGUGCUCAGCACUGGAGAGCAUGGCAUCUAUGGUGGUGGCUCUUCCAGGGACAAGGCAGCACAACCUUGUCCUCCCACUGGCAAUGUCUAGAGGACAAAGCACCAAGUGCCUGCCACCCCACGAGGACAUAAAUCGCACCUGCCUAGGCCCUGCUGUCUGACUCUGCUGGCGCUGCACUGACCCCAGGAUCUGCCGAGGCCCUGCUGUCUGACUCUGCUGGCGCUGCGCUGACUCCAAGUACUGCUGCCUUUGGAUUCUGGGUGCUCCCCCUGUCUGUCUCCAAUCCACAGGUAUCUCUGGCACUCAUGUGCUGCACCUGCUAGCUGCUAUUCAUUCUAGGAAACAGGAAGGCCACGUCCCCCACAGGAAGCAGCGGCCUGUGUGGUGUGCUGUAGGGCACUCACCCAGCUCCUCCAGGGAAGGCACGCCAUAGGUGUCGUCAUGGUUCUCCUGGAUCUCAGCUCUGCAGCUCUCCAUCUGCUGGCUGCUCACAGCCACCGCGGGCUUCUUGGGCAGCUCCAUGCGGCUGAUGAGGGCCUGAAAGCGCUUGUAGGUGCAGGUCUCUGGAGGCUGUGGGAGCUCACCGAGGCCCGACGGUUCACUGCCAUGCUCGGCAGCAGCCUACCAGCUACAACUCCUGGAAUCCCAUUCUCAGUACCUGCACUCCCACAGGACUUGAGAUGUUGCCCAAGCAUCUGAGCUGCCUCAGUCGUUUUCUGCUUCAUUCUCUCGAAAGUGCCGCUACAAAAGGGUGACCCACAAAAAUCAAAAAACCAUAAAACCAAGCAUACUGGAGUUCAAUCUA
rnacentral:lncRNA from 1 species